GCCCUCGUAGGUCAAUGGAUAGACCGUCGGCCUCCGGAGCCGAAGAUUGCGGGUUCGAAUCCCGCCGAGGGUACCA
rnacentral:tRNA from 1 species